rnacentral:rRNA from 1 species
UGGGGAAUAUUGCACAAUGGGCGCAAGCCUGAUGCAGCCAUGCCGCGUGUAUGGAGAAGGCCUUCGGGUUGUAAAGUACUUUCAGCGGGGAGGAAGGGAGUAAAGUUAAUACCUUUGCUCAUUGACGUUACCUGCAGAAGAAGCACCGGCUAACUCCGUGCCAGCAGCCGCGGUAAUACGGAGGGUGCAAGCGUUAAUCGGAAUUACUGGGCGUAAAGCGCACGCAGGCGGUUGAUUGAGUCAGAUGUGAAAUCCCCGGGCUUAACCCGGGAAUUGCAUCUGAUACUGGUCAGCUAGAGUCUUGUAGAGGGGGGUAGAAUUCCAUGUGUAGCGGUGAAAUGCGUAGAGAUGUGGAGGAAUACCGGUGGCGAAGGCGGCCCCCUGGACAAAGACUGACGCUCAGGUGCGAAAGCGUGGGGAGCAAACAGG